rnacentral:rRNA from 1 species
GACGAACGCUGGCGGCGUGCUUAACACAUGCAAGUCGAACGGAAAGGCCCGGCUUUUGUGGGGUGCUCGAGGGGCGAACGGGUGAGUAACACGUGAGUAACCUGUCCUUGACUUUGGGAUAUCCUCAGGAAACUGGGGCUAAUACCGGAUAGGAGCUCCUGCCGCAUGGUGGGGGUUGGAAAGUUUCGGCGGUUGGGGAUGGACUCGCGGCUUAUCGGCUUGUUGGUUGGGUAGUGGCUGACCAAGGCAUUGACGGCUAGCCGGCCUGGGAGGGGGACCGGCCCCGUCGCGCCUGAGAUACGGCCCAGACUCGAACCGGAGGCAACGGUGGAGAGGAUUGCACAGUGCGCUGGAGCCUGGUGCGACACCGCCGCGUGCGGGAAGACGGCCUUCGGGUUGUGAACCGCUGUCGCCUGAGCCGAGGCGUUAGUGACGGUACCGGGUAAAGAAGCACCGGCUAACUACGUG